rnacentral:rRNA from 1 species
CUACGGAGGGUGCAAGCGUUAUUCGGAAUCACUGGGCGUAAAGGACGCGUAGGCGGGUUGGCAAGUCAGAUGUGAAAUCCUACAGCUUAACUGUAGAACUGCAUUUGAAACUGCUAACCUUGAGUAUGGGAGGGGGAGAUGGAAUUAGUGGUGUAGGGGUAAAAUCCGUAGAUAUCACUAGGAAUACCGAAAGCGAAGGCGAUCUCCUGGAACAUAACUGACGCUAAGGCGUGAAAGCGUGGGGAGCAAACAGGAUUAGAUACCCUAGUAGUCC